AAGCUCAAGCUUCCAUAUAGUCUAGCUCCUCAAAAGACCUCUAUGGGCUCUAUGACUAACCAGAUGAGUACGUUAUCGGUGAGCGGUCAGCCCAUCAGAUCUGAACUGGACUCAACUACAGAGGAAUCUGAGGAGAUCUACUACAGUGAUGAGAGUAGUUCUAGCAAAGAGUGGUCCUUAUACGAGCCAGUGCCCUUCAAACCUCACUGUCAAGAUGAGGAAAUAAUCUCUGAUUGGAGUAGUUCAGACGAAGACGAACAGACAGGAACCAAGAUUUACUCGGUCAAGCCUAAGAAUAAUUCCAUGUCUUCUCUUGUGGUUAACGGUGAUCCACCUUCUGCUCUAGCUCCUGCUUCUACAGCUCCUGUUUCCUUUCCUGUUCUAUUUCCUGCUCCAGCUCCUGUUUCAAGUGUAUCUCGAUUAAGAACUCCUCUUGAACGACCCCGCCCCUGUAUGGACUUCUAUGUGUCUCCUCGUAUGUCUGGGUACAUCGGACCCCCCAUAGCUGCCGCACCUGCCUCACCUACUAUUACUAAUCAAGAGCAAAGGACUGUUUGCAUUUGUAACCGAGGUACAACAGUUGUAUGCUGUACAAGCUGUACCAAAACCUUCUCCAAAAGUAGAGUCAAGAUGGAGUGUAAGGUCCAUCCGAACAGGUUCAUGAGCAACGAUCUUCUUAAAUGUUCUCGAUGUUUCUCCUAUCUGUUAGAAGAACUGCAAGAAACCAUGUAAAGACAACAUUUGAACUCGCAACUUCAACACGAUACGACUACAUUACAACUCAGAAGUUCAAGAAAUUAAGUAAAGACCACAUCAGACCUAGGAAAAAAUCUUGCGUAUUCUGACUUCAUUAGCUAGAAGUGAUUAAAGCUGCAGAAAGUUAUAUAGGUCUGUAAUCGUAUUCAGGAUUUAUUUUAUUUUCCAAGCUAUAGAACAAAACAUUGGAAAUAUUCCUUAAACCCCGCCAACUCUUGAUUCGUAUUUUUUUUUGCAAUGGCCUGGAUCCGGAUCAGCAUCAAAAUUGUAUAUAUCCUAAGCACUGAUUUGUAACCAUAAUCGUUGAGAUUAUAUCCAUCUUGGAUUGAUUAUUGCCGAAUGCAGUUCUCUGAUGUUAUUUGUAAAACGUUAGAAAUACAGUGAUUGUUUUCUGUCGCAUUUUCCUGCCAUGCGAAUUCUUGUAAUUUAUGUAAAUGUCGUAUUUUGUGUUUAAGAUUUUGUAAUGGUAUUUGUAAAAUUUUACAGAAUGCUGUAUGUUAAUGUAAAAAGUAACACCUGUUAUACUCUUAAAACAAAUUGUUCUUAUUCAAAA
rnacentral:misc_RNA from 1 species